CAGAUCCAGAAGAUCCCGACUCCAACAAAAGUCAUCAGAGAUCCAGCAGCAGCAGAUAUCAAAACUAUCUGAGAACCUGACACCGGAGGACCAGAAGAAAUAGAAGUGAAUGUGUUGGUCGGAUCUAUAUCACAGGACAGCUGUAGGUGUUGUUAUCUUGAUAUUCCACCUCCAGAGGUAGAGAGAGACUGAUGCUGAGAUCAGACACACUGAUGCUGGACAAUACACUGUUUCCUUUGUACCAGGAGAGACUCACAGCGCUCACAUUCACCACUGAACACAACACUGAAUAAUUAUACUGGGAUGAUGAACACAGAGAAGAGUUGAAGAUGAGGGCAGGAACAAGCAGACGUGCUGGAAAACAUGAGAAUAGAGAUUUUCAGUACAGAGUUUGAGUGUAAAUUGUUGAAGAAUUUGUGAAGGAUUAAAGAACUUUACUCGCCAUGAACAGAAACAUU
ensembl:processed_transcript